AGAUUGAACGCUGGCGGCAUGCCUUACACAUGCAAGUCGAACGGUAGAGUAGCAAUACUUGAGAGUGGCGAACGGGUGAGUAAUAUAUCGGAACGUGCCCAGUCGUGGGGGAUAACGUAGAGAAAUUUACGCUAAUACCGCAUACGAUCUAAGGAUGAAAGCGGGGGACUCGCAAGAGCCUCGCGCGAUUGGAGCGGCUGAUAUCAGAUUAGGUUGUUGGUGAGGUAAAAGCUCACCAAGCCGACGAUCUGUAGCUGGUUUGAGAGAACGACCAGCCACACUGGGACUGAGACACGGCCCAGACUCCUACGGGAGGCAGCAGUGGGGAAUUUUGGACAAUGGGCGAAAGCCUGAUCCAGCAAUGCCGCGUGUGGGAAGAAGGCCUUCGGGUUGUAAACCACUUUUGUACGGAACGAAAAGGUCUGCCUUAAUACGGUGGGCCCAUGACGGUACCGUAAGAAUAAGCACCGACUAACUACGUGCCAGCAGCCGCGGUAAUACGUACGGUGCGAGCGUUAAUCGGAAUUACUGGGCGUAAAGCGUGCGCAGGCGGUUAUAUAAGACAGUUGUGAAAUCCCCGGGCUCAACCUGGGAAUUGCAUCUGUGACUGUAUAGCUAGAGUACGGUAGAGGGGGAUGGAAUUCCGCGUGUAGCAGUGAAAUGCAUAUAUAUGCGGAGGAACACCGAUGGCGAAGGCACUCCCCUGGACCUGUACUGACGCUCAUGCACGAAAGCGUGGGAGCAAACAUGAUUACAUACCCUGGCAGUCCACGCCCUAAACGAUGUCAACUGAUGUUGGUGCAGUAUUACUCAGUAACGAAGCUUACGCGUGAAGAUCGACCGCCUGGGGAGACGGCAGCAAGUGAAACUCAUAGGAAUUGACCGGCACCCGCA
rnacentral:rRNA from 1 species